rnacentral:rRNA from 1 species
UUGCAUAUCAAUAAGCGGAGGAAAAGAAACCAACAGGGAUUGCCCUAGUAACGGCGAAGUGAAGCGGCAACAGCUCAAAUUUGAAAUCUGGCGCAAGCCCGAAGUGUAAUUUGGAGAAGGAUGCUUCUGGGCAGCGGCCGUUCUAAGUUCCUUGGAACAGGACGUCAUAGAGGGUGAGAAUCCCGUAUGUGACCGGCGCGCACCCUCCACGUAGCUCCUUCGACGAGUCGAGUUGUUUGGGAAUGCAGCUCUAAAUGGGAGGUAAAUUUCUUCUAAAGCUAAAUACCGGCCAGAGACCGAUAGCGCACAAGUAGAGUGAUCGAAAGAUGAAAAGCACUUUGGAAAGAGAGUUAAAUAGCACGUGAAAUUGUUGAAAGGGAAGCGCUUGCAACCAGACUUGGCGGCGGUGUUCCGCCGGGCUUCUGCCCGGUCCACUCGCCGCCGCCAGGCCAACAUCAUCUGUGGCCGCCGGAGAAGACGCGGGGAAUGUGGCUCCCUCGGGAGUGUUAUAGCCCCGCUUGAUACGGCGCGCCGCGGGUGAGGUCCGCGCUUCGGCAAGGAUGUUGGCGUAAUGGUUGUCAGCGGCCCGUCUUGAAACACGGACCAAGGAGUCUAACAUCUAUGCGAGUGUUCGGGUGUCAAACCCUUGCGCGUAAUGAAAGUGAACGGAGGUGGGAACUUUUUGUGCACCAUCGACCGAUCCUGAUGUCCUCGGAUGGAUUUGAGUAAGAGCAUAGCUGUUGGGACCCGAAAGAUGGUGAACUAUGCCUGGAUAGGGUGAAGCCAGAGGAAACUUCUGGUGGAGGCUCGCAGCGGUUUCUGACGUGCAAAUCGAUCGUCAAAUUUGGGUAAUAGGGGCGAAAGACUAAUCGAACCAUCUAGUAGCUGGUUCCUGCCGAA